GAGCCGAGGGUGCCGGCUGAAGCGCAGAGGACCUGGAAGCCGAACCCGCGCGAGCCUUACGGGGCCGCCCCUCGCCCACGCCGUCAGCGGGCCAGCCUGCGCAGCAAGCGUGCUGAGCAAAAAGGACCACCGUUGGGUUGCAAACUGCCUUGGAGUUCGGUUUGUGUACUGCUGAGAGGACCAUAAAAACGCGGAGAGCUACGGAGAUCCUGGAGUCCCGCCCGCCCUAGGCCAGCGUCAACCUCACAACUAGCCAACGAUCCCAAUCCGAAAUGGGGGAGGUUCAGAAGCACUGCGGGUCCUCCGGGCCCCUGAGCCACAGCCUGGCUAAACACUGACUCCUCUUAAAACUGCGGCGGUGCAGUCACACGGCGAAUCAACCCGACACUUUUCAAGAAAACAAAAUAUUCAUUCUCUAACAAAACU
rnacentral:lncRNA from 1 species